GGAGGAGAAUGACGGAGAGGGAGGUGCAUGACUGAGACCCUGAGGGAUGGGGAGGAUGUGGGGGAGCAAAGACAGGAAGAAAAAGCACCAAGACAACAAUGCCAGCAACGGGGGCAUUCAGGCCACGAGCCUCAUAGUAUCUGGAGACAAGGAGAUACUGGCAAGGAAGGAACACAGCGACCCCUGAAAAGCUUUUUGGCUCAAGACACUAAGUCUACUCAUUGCUCUAAGGUUCCCCAGCAAACUAGGGUUUGACAUCACAUGGGAUGGGCUCCCUCUGCACGUGGACUGUCCAUCAGCCGAGCCUGGUGUCACGACAAGCUACCAUCAUGUCUUCCACACUGCCCACGUUUAGAACAGCAGGAGUUAUAGGCUGGAGGAGCACAGGGGCCAAUCAAAGAGGGCCAGGAAGCAGCGACGUCAUCUUUCCUCUCUCCUGCUCACCUCAAUCUCAUCCUUGGUGGAGGGGCACAGGCCAUGGAAGGCAGACCGCCCCAGCCCAUCUCUCCCUGGGUCUUCAGUAACCCACUCUCUAUCCGGGAAGAAACACUCUCACGCGGGGCGACUUUAGCUCCAAGUCAUCCAGUCUGAACUCCAAAGUGCUUUCAUUGGGAGGGAAAUGAUGGCUUUGUGUAACAGGAAAUGGACUGGCGGCCGCUCAAAGACUCCCGUUGCCCUUCGGCAAAGACCCCUCUCCAGGCCUCCAGCAGAUGCGCUUCCUUCAUGAGAAGAGGGCCUUCUGCCUUCUAGAGGCCCCCUUCCCCAGAAAUAGGGCCUUUCAUCUCUUCCUGAGGUUUUCUUCCAAGAGCCAUUACCUGUCACCAGGAUGGUGGAUGAACCUGGAACACAUCUGCCCUUCUAACAGGCUCACCGUGCGGCUAAAAGCUUCCUUCCUUGAUUCGGAAUCUGACCUCAGCAGCCACACCUGCCACUUUUGGGAUGUGUCUCUUAAAGGCCCCUCCCUUCCCCUCCUUCCCACCCCAACUCUGCCCGCAGUCCCCCAGACAUUUAUCUGUUUGUUGCAACUGUUGGCUCUGUCUGAGACUUCCGGUCCUCUCCCCAGUGUCCUUACAGCCCCACAUAAACCAGCUCCUACAAGUGAAAUCAAGGUGGGUGGAGACGACAAAGCUUUACCAAGCUUCAUCAGAAACUUCCACUGCAGUCUCAUUUUGAGCCCCAUCAGAAAGGUGUGUGGUCUCUACAAUAUAUGCAGUAUUUUCUAGAUAUUCUGCACACCACAGACCUGCCCAUGUUGCUUACCUAGUAACGUUCUAAAAAAGAAUCCUUCCCUAAAUAUCAUUUUGCGAGUUCCCAAAGAGGUGGCAAAAUAUUCAAUGAGUCUUUAAGAAAUAGCUCAGAAAGUUGGGAUAAAAUAAAAAAAGCCAACAGAAUACUAA
rnacentral:lncRNA from 1 species